UAGACAGAAGUCUGUUGGUUUGGGACGUCUAGCUGUUAACUAGAAGUGUCGUGGGGUCGAAGCCCACCUGUCUAG
rnacentral:tRNA from 1 species